CAGCCGCAAGGAAUCGUUCCGCCCAUCUGGUCAUGCGCGAAGUCCUUCUGGCUGCAACACUGCUCUCCUACCUGCGUCUCUCGCUUCAGGUAGGCCAGCGUAGGACGAUAGAAUUGUAGGCUGCUUCUCGGAAAAUUCCUCUUCAUCAUCAUUGUCCAGGAUUUGUAUUGCAGAAUCCUUAUCCGUAAGAGUUUCAAGUUUCAACCUGCGAACAGCAAUACAAUAUCAGAAAUGUAUUCUUCUCUGAAGUGAACUAAGACACUCAACUCUCUCAUAAUAAUUUCUUUAUCAUGCUGGAUGUUUGGGAAAAAAAGGCGCUACUUAAUGCUCAGACAAUUCAUGUUAUUAGGGUUCUAGCAACUACCUCUUACAAGCUGUAUUCCUCAGGGGAGAACAGUAGAGUAAGACAGAGUGGUGAGAAAAUUACAACCUUGGUAUUGUUCUGCUGUGUAUACUUCUCUGUGUAAAUAAAUGGAAGUCAAGCGUUA